UGGGGGAUAUUGCACAAUGGGCGAAAGCCUGAUGCAGCGACGCCGCGUGGGGGAUGAAGGCUUUCGGGUUGUAAACCUCUUUCGCUAUCGAACAAGGCCCGCUUAGGGUGGGUUGAGGGUAGGUGGAGAAGAAGCGCCGGCUAACUACGUGCCAGCAGCCGCGGUAAUACGUAGGGCGCGAGCGUUGUCCGGAAUUAUUGGGCGUGAAGGGCUUGUAGGCGGCUUGUUGCGCCUGCUGUGAAAACGCGGGGCUUAACUUCGCGCGUGCAGUGGGUACGGGCAGGCUUGAGUGUGGUAGGGGUGACUGGAAUUCCAGGUGUAGCGGUGGAAUGCGCAGAUAUCUGGAGGAGCACCGAUGGCGAAGGCAGGUCACUGGGCCAUUACUGACGCUGAGGAGCGAAAGCAUGGGUAGCGAACAGG
rnacentral:rRNA from 1 species